rnacentral:rRNA from 1 species
CACGUAGGGCGCAAGCGUUAUCCGGAAUCAUUGGGCGUAAAGAGCGUGUAGGCGGCCCGGUAAGUCCGCUGUGAAAGUCGGGGGCUCAACCCUCGAAUGCCGGUGGAUACUGUCGGGCUAGAGUGCGGAAGAGGCGAGUGGAAUUCCUGGUGUAGCGGUGAAAUGCGCAGAUAUCAGGAGGAACACCGGUGGCGAAGGCGGUUCUCUGGGCCUUACCUGACGCUGAGGAGCGAAAGCGUGGGGAGCGAACAGG